AGCUUCGAUCACACCGACUGGAAUAUCAUUUAAAUCGAAGUUAAUCCCUUUUUAUUUGCUUAUAUUAUAGACAAUCUUUAUAUUACAUCAGUGGAUCAUGUUGAAGAAUCAUGGGAAGGAAAUGUAUCCAACAGACAACCAAAUAUAGAAAACUGCCUUUAGAGAAUGAGGUCAAUACGUCGUGAUUUGGAUAAACAGAUGGGCGCUGACAAAGCUCCAGGUUUCCUCCUCACGCCGGGAUUUCAGGGCUGGAGCAUCGAGGAGAAGAGAAAAAGCAAAACAGGGCUGACAGAACACAGGUGGGAACAAUCAAGGCAAUUACACAGGCAGACAAGCAGGGGAAGUAAAACAAGACGCAACAACACGCCGAGACCCCCAAAACAACACAGAGGUUAAUAACAAGGCAAAGAAAACAAAAGGAAAGUGGGAAAGUUGACAGAAGAGAACGGUGCAGAUAGAGACAGAAGAAAAUUUGUCAAAAGAAGACGAGCCGCAAUGAAAAAAUGUAAACAUUUUCUGCAUUUUUUCAGAAGCGUGCAAGUUGUCUUCCUGAUUUAUGUGAAAAGUCUCACACUCCUGUAAUAAUUGCAUUUUUUUAAGUUAAAGAAUGAGGCGUAGAUAAAUCAUCUCAUAAAUUUUACUGCCAUCAGUUUGACACACCAUAUUGUCAAGGUUUCUGGGUCACGGCGCCAAUCCCGGGAUCCAGAUGUUCCAUGAAAACAGGUGUAUAAAUCCACCUUAUGCAGAGUGAUGGUGAAGAAAUGCAUCACUCCUGUGAUGUCGGUGAAUUUCACCGAGGUACCAAGAUGAGAUUUCACCGAGUCCAGCUGUAACCAAACAGUCCAGGUGAUUUUUCUGACUGAUAAAGACAGAAUGCUAAAAUUUAAUCAGAAGGUGCGUCACCCUUACAUUGUGGUGUGGGGACUAUUAAUAGUCCUUGGAACCAUUUUGUUUGGGCCUAAAACUGCAGUUAAAAAUGGUCGAAAUGUAAUCGUCCAGCAAAUGGAGCUCAUGAACUUCAGCUUUUCAUCAUUUCAUAUGAUGAGAUAUCUUCUGAAAUAAUUUUUUUUUUAA